GACAGAGGCCUCAAGCGUUAGGCGGAAUCACUGGGCGUAAAGGGUGCGUAGGCGGGUCUUUUAAGUCAGGGGUGAAAUCCUGGAGCUCAACUCCAGAACUGCCUUUGAUACUGAGGAUCUUGAGUUCGGGAGAGGUGAGUGGAACUAGCGGAGUGUAGAGGUGAAAAUUCGUAGAUAUUCGCAGGAACACCAGUGGCGAAGGCGGCUCACUGGCUCGAUACUGACGCUGGAGGUGCGA
rnacentral:rRNA from 1 species